rnacentral:lncRNA from 1 species
AACCUUUGGAAGGAAUUUUAAGACUUAAUGGUGAAAAGUGUUGUAGAAGUGUUAGAUACUAUUAAAGGUGUUCAGAAUUUUCAUGUUUAAUUUAAAAAUAUAACAGUUCAGACAUUAGAAAUUAGGGUGGUACUGAUAACUUCAGAUCCUGUGUCAAGCAGUGUUUUUAUUUUCCAGAAUGGAAAAUUCUUCAGUAUGUGAAUUCUGCAGUAUGUGAAUUGCAGUUUUGUUUUCCAAAAAAAGGAAAAAGCUUUUGAACUUUAAUACCCUGAGAACAUGUUUAAAGGAGUCAGAAAUCCAUCCCUUCCAUUGGAACAGUUCUCUACUGUGUAAUGGAGAUUGAGAAAUGCAGAGAAAACUGUGGAUUGUCCCAGGGUCUACUUUGAGCACAAGUACAGGUAAAAGCUGGAAGAAAACUCUGUCUUCAGCUGUCCCUGAAGCUUCCAAAGUGAUUGUGGGACUGUACUCCAUUUUACAAGCCAUCCAUCAGCCCUUUGGUUUUCAUUUGCUCUGGAUCAAAACCUCCACAAAAUCCAUGAUGCUGUUUCCUUGCUUCUUGGGCUUUUGAAAACAAUGUGGUUUUCCAUGAGUUGUGAGAUUAUCCACUUACCACUGCUGAAACACACUUGGAGGUUGUAAAUCGGAAACUUCUGGAUGACAGGUCAGUAACUGUGAUUUUGACUGUAAAAAACAGGUUGGCCCAUGCCAACCUGGAUUAAAAUGUGUGGCAGGUGCACUUGAAAUAGAGGAUGCAAAACCAGACCAUGUCCUGAAGAGUGUGCAAAGCAUAGUUCUAGUCUGCACAUGGUACAGAAGCUAGGGAGGGAAUACUGAAAUAUUUCUUUAUAAUUUAUUGAAGUAUUAAAUUACUGGGCAUAUUCAUUUCUAUGUUGAACCUAUCAGGUCAGGGUCUGAUGUUUUUGCAAGUUCUAUUUUCUGGUUCAGGAGUGGGUUCUACUGCUGAGUUACAACAUGAGUUGAGAAAAUGAUAGUGUUUUUCUACCUCUUUGAAAAAAAGAAUUGUUUCUGUGAAGCAGCUUGAGCUGGAGUCAGUGCAUGAAAUCCUGAAUGUUCUAUUAUUGCUCCUCUCCGAAACUCAU